GAUCAUGGCUCAGAUUGAACGCUGGCGGCAGGCCUAACACAUGCAAGUCGAGCGGAUGAAGAGAGCUUGCUCUCUGAUUCAGCGGCGGACGGGUGAGUAAUGCCUAGGAAUCUGCCUGAUAGUGGGGGACAACGUUUCGAAAGGAACGCUAAUACCGCAUACGUCCUACGGGAGAAAGCAGGGGACCUUCGGGCCUUGCGCUAUCAGAUUAGCCUACGGUCGGGAGUUAGU
rnacentral:rRNA from 1 species